rnacentral:rRNA from 1 species
AUGGCUCAAGCACAGGCGACACGAGGCUCAGGCGACCCCAUGAAGGCCCAGCAGGAGCAGCCGGAGCCCAUCCAGUACGGCCACGUCUUCGCCGUCACGGGCGACCUAGCCGUCCAGGCCAUCGCGCCGCGGGACGCGGAGGCCAUGCGCACCGCCGAGGAGAGCGUGCAGGGCGUGCAGGUCCCGCAGGCCAGCGGCGGCGGCUUCAGCGCGGCGGUGGCCAUGGAGACGGCCGCCACGUACAACCAGGCCGUCGGCGCCGUCCGCCCGGGCCAGGCCAGCGACGCGGCCACCAAGCAGGGCAUCACCGUCACCCAGACGGCCGUGCCCGGCGGCCGCAUCGUCACCGAGUUCGUGGCCGGCCAGGUGGUGGGGCAGUACUCCGUGGCCGACCAGGCGAUGAUGCAGCAGCAGCAGGUGGAGGAGGACACGAGCAAGGUGACGAUCGGCGAGGCCAUGGAGGCAGCGGCCCUGUCCGCGGGCGAUCGGCCCCUCGAGGAGGCCGACGCGGCGGCCAUCCGCGCCGCGGAGACCCAGGCGCAGGGAGCGGACGAGGUCAUGCCCGGCGGCCUCGCCGACCAGGCGUGGGCCGCCGCAAGCGCCAACGCCUGGGCGGAGCGCGACGAGGACAAGAUCACGGUCAGCGAUGUCCUCUCGGACGCGACGACGAAGCUGGCGGAUGACAAGCCGGCGGAGAGGGAGGACGCGGCAAGAGUGGUGCAGGCGGAGACGUACAGCGACGCCGGGGCGCGCACCAAGGCCGGCGGGGUGGGCGCCGCGAUCACCACGGCGGCGAGGCUUAACCAGGAGGACGACGACGACGCUUGA